AUGGUGCAAGACCAGGCAACGUUUUGUUCUGUUAUGCGCAGGGUCUCCACAAAUUGGAACCGACUCGACGACAUGGCACCUACCAACAAACAAUGCAGCGGGCUGGCAUUGCUGUCCUGAUUUUGCUAGAGGACACUGAUGCUAAGAAAGAGCCACUUUCAUUGCUUGGGGCUGAUGAAAGGCUGAGAGCGUGGGUAAGUGGGCAGACUCUGGAGCCAAAUUAUUUGGGUUUAGUGACUUGGCAAGUUACCAGGCUUCUCCAUACUUCAGUUUUCUUUCCUGUAAAAUGGGAAUAAUAAUAACACCUUCCUCAUAGAAAUGUGUGAAGUCUCAGCGGUAAAUAAAUGUUAAGCAUACUUAGAUGGAACCCUACCAGAUACUAAGCCCUGAAAAAGUCUUUGAUAUUCUGAAGUAGAUAGUCACUAAGUGGUUGGGCUAGGAUACAAAUUGUGAUCAGCUUUCUAUGCCCCUCUGUCUUCAGAUUACUUUUUCAAACCAUGAUGAUUCCUUCUCUGGCCCCUUUGGAUCCAUCCUCUUCCUCUCUUGUCCUUGUCACAAAAUCUCACCAUCUGACACUUUCCUAUGCCAGCCUUGAUACUCUUGUCUAUACUCCGUUCCCAGCAGAGAACUGAAAUUAUUCUGAGGACCGAUUAGGAUGUCAGAAGAAAAUUUUGCCUUUCUCGUAUUAGUAGAAAGCAUUUUCCUUCCAUUCUAUUUAAAUGUUUCAUUUACCCUAAGGUCAAAUUGUCUAGCUGGGUGGCACUAGUCUUGGUAACGCAAUGGGGUGUGCAUGUGCAGGAAAGAUUAAGGUUUGUGAAUUGGCUUUCCAAUCUUUGAAGUACAGAGAAAUUUUGUCCAGUUAUUUUUGUAUCAUUAUAGCAACUUUCUUUUCCAUGUUUAUAGAUCAAAAUAUUUUUUGUCCAGUCUUUAAACGAAAUGAGAUAGCUUUAGGGGAGGAAGGAGGUGAAUCGUGGGAAGAAUCCUACAAAUCUUGGGGUCACUGUACUAACUUGGUCAAGAGACUUACAUCUUUGAGCAUCAGAUUCACAUCUCUACAGCAGGAAAAAUGAAUCCUGCCUCAUGUAAAUUGUUGUAAGGAUUGAAUGAGGGCAUAAAUAUCAGUCUUCAGUGGCGUUACCUGGUAAUUCAAUGCCAGUUUGCCUCAUCUUCCCUUUCCUUUGCUUAGAGGUGUCCAUGAGGAUUCUUGGAAGGCGCUGUCUAGCAGAGAGCAAGUGAAGAAGAAGGCAGAGCUCCUUAAAGGUGUCCUCUGAUUCUAAGUUGGGAAUGAUCUUAACUAAGAUGCAAGAGAAUCAUUUCUUUAUCUGAGAAGAGCAGGGAAGAAACAUCUCAAGGUGGCUGGAGCAAAGUGCGGCUGGUCCCAGGAGUAGUAAACCAGCAUUUAUACAACAGUUUAAAGUUUACAAAAGCAUCCACAAGCUUUUCCUUUGAACCUUAGACUAACAAGCAAGGUGGCAUGAAGCAUUUUGACUACUCAGCAGAAAUGAUGAUUCAUAGAGAUACUCACGCCAGUGGGAAACACUGCCACUCCAUUGUGAAAAUUCUAUUUUGCUCUCUGAACAAUGCUUUUUACUUAAGACUCGGCAAGUUGAUUGAUAUAGAAGGACAAAUGGUGCCGAUUUCUUGCUCUGCCUCAACUUUGGUCAAGUUAGAUGGACAAGUGCCCUGUAUUCUCUGCCCAUUGAAUUGCCUAGACCCCGCCUCUGUACCAUUGUAGUAAUAACCAACAAUACAGACAGUUUUGUAUUUCUUGCAUGAAUUUCCUGGAAGAGAGAGUCCUCCUGAGUAAAAGAGGAGAGACCUGGUAAAACAGGUACUCUUGGAAAAGGCUGUUCACUGCAUAGGUAAGGGGAGAUUUAAUGAAAAUGAGUUAAUAUAGAACUAAAAUAAGUGUAUUGAUCUGGGGGAAAUCCUGAACUCUGUUGUGAGUGAGACAGUUGUGGUAAGUGGGAAAUGCUUUGGGGAAAACCCAUAACUUCCCCAAAUGCCUAUGUAAAUGCCUACAACAUGGAAAAUUAGCAGGAAGAGCUUGAUAUCUCAGCUCACAGUGUCAUUUAAAUUGGAAAUAUUCAGCUGCAAGUGAGGAGAGGUGGUGAAAAUAGAAAUUGCGACUGCCUUUAGGUUCAAGGCCUACGAUCAUCUGAUACUCAGAAAAGAGAACAUGAAUAAUACUUAGAAAACAUCCAAGUGAAGCACAAAACCUUUGCAGAUAAAGAGAAUCUGAAAUUGUCUCUGUUCAAAUAUGCAAAAUAGCUUAAGGAGAAGAACCAGGGAGUAAUGGUGAAGAAUUUUGUAAUGGGCAUAUACCACCCAAAAAGUUUUAGGUGGUGUUAUGGAUUGAAUUGUGCCCACCAAAAAUAUGUGUUGUAAAUCCUAACCCCUAUACCUUUGGAUGUGUUAUCAGGAGGGACUAGUCCCUGGAGAAGGACAUCUUGCUUGAUAAAGAAGA